UGAAUUGUCAAACUCAACGGGUAUUGCAAAGUGGAGCUCUCUACUGCUUACAAGGACCGCAGUUUCAUGAGUGCUGAAAGCCCCUCACCAUUUUUCCAUUGGCCAUUCUUCUUCUGUGAGUCUGGAUAGUGAAUGUCAGCAGGUUUAUUUGAUCAUUCUACACAGGCAAGUUCUGACAAGAAGAUACUGGAUAGUCAAAGAAGUAUCCAAUGGACCUUCUAGUCCAGCACCUAACUACUGAGGUGACAGAAAAGAUGUGAACUUUUAUCCAGGCUCAAUGUGCCCCAUUAUUUCAACUUCUCACCGU